rnacentral:rRNA from 1 species
AUGCACGCUGGCGGCGUGCCUAAUACAUGCAAGUCGAGCGAACAGACGAGGAGCUUGCUCCUCUGACGUUAGCGGCGGACGGGUGAGUAACACGUGGAUAACCUACCUAUAAGACUGGGAUAACUUCGGGAAACCGGAGCUAAUACCGGAUAAUAUAUUGAACCGCAUGGUUCAAUAGUGAAAGACGGUUUUGCUGUCACUUAUAGAUGGAUCCACGCCGCAUUAGCUAGUUGGUAAGGUAACGGCUUACCAAGGCAACGAUGCGUAGCCGACCUGAGAGGGUGAUCGGCCACACUGGAACUGAGACACGGUCCAGACUCCUACGGGAGGCAGCAGUAGGGAAUCUUCCGCAAUGGGCGAAAGCUUGACGGAGCAACGCCGCGUGAGUGAUGAAGGUCUUCGGAUCGUAAAACUCUGUUAUUAGGGAAGAACAAAUGUGUAAGUAACUAUGCACGUCUUGACGGUACCUAAUCAGAAAGCCACGGCUAACUACGUG